UACGUAUGGAGCAAGCGUUAUCCGGAUUUACUGGGUGUAAAGGGAGAGUAGGUGGCAGAGCAAGUCAGAAGUGAAAACCCAAAGCUCAACUAUGGGAAUGCUUUAGAAACUGCUCAGCUAGAGUGCAGGAGAGGCAAGUGGAAUUCUUAGUGUAGCGGUGAAAUGCGUAGAUAUCACGCAGAACCCCGAUUGCGAAGGCAGCAUACCGGUGCACAACUGACGCUCAGGCACGAAAGCGUGGGUAUCGAACAGG
rnacentral:rRNA from 1 species